AUUCUAGUGGCUUUAAAGCAGAACAAUCUUCUUAUGAAAUUCCUUCUAUUCAGUAAAGUCAUUCAUGCAAGGAGCGUCCAACUCCUGGUGGUUACGAGUAGUGGAAGGAGAACGAACACGUUUUGUUUCAUGUGCAGUUUCCAGGACGCAGGUUCAAGCUUGCCCUCCACCCCCAAGCGAGUUUUAUUCUCUGGAAGUCUUCGUUGAACGUCAGCAGACUCCGAGGAUCUGUUCCUGGCGAGCCCUAAACCGCCAUUCUCCUUUCUUCUGGAAAGAGCAACCCAGUUUUGUUUGGGAGAUCUAUACCAUCGGCUACCAUCUUGGCAGUAUCAUUAACCAAAGUGUCUUGCCCUCCCGUGGCCAAGAGGUUUUCUGCCAUCUUCUCUGGAAGGUGCACCACGCUCGGCUCUGUGGUUAUUUUUGCCUAACAGCUGUGUUUCCGGUGAGCGGCUGUGGGAUUCGUCUGAGUCAGCAAAACUGUGGCAGUAACCGUCAAGAAGCCAUUCAAGCAAGGCUAGAAAUAAAGAAGCUGUUGCUCCCCCCGGCCCCCUCCUCCCUCUCACUUCCCUCCCCGUGGGCACCUUUUGAAAGUCUCACAAAGCACUUUUUAAAAAACCCUCGACUUUCUCGACCAAUAUGCUCAAGGGCUGGCUGAAGGUGGCGCUCAGCUGGGCUUUGUGCAGACAGAUGGACUCUGCAAAGGGCUGUGCCAAACCCGCCUGGCUGGGCCUCUGGAAGGUUCCUCCCCAGGCGCCCCCACCCGCUCCUCGUCCCGGACUGUGUCUUACAAGUUUCCCACAGGUCUCGGCAGUGAAAGCGGAGGCGGCAGGGACUUCUGUGGUUUUCUGGGGUGUGGCUCCAAGCCGCCUUCGCCAGGCCCGGGUAUAUCUUCGUCGUGCAGCCUGUUUCUAAAAGGUAACUAACGCUUGCACCCCGGGUCUGGGAGGCGGCGACACACUCCUACCCCUUGGCACAGGAGUCUCGCGCCCUGCAUUGCAGAGAGUCUUGCACAAAGCAGGAAGGGAACAGAAUAUGUAAAGGAUCCCUCCUCCUGGAGAGCCAACCUCUGUGCAUGUUGGUGCCUGCAAAAGACUCAGGCAAAGCGAGACAGCUGCGCGCGGAGCCUCGCUGCUGCUGUUCCGAGACGGAAAGGAACUAGUAAAUUUAGCUCCAUCCUACGCAUCCUUCGCAGCUGCUCGUUGACCAAACAGAAAGAGGCCUCUAUUUCAACCCUGGCUUCUCUGCCUUUUUGCCUCAUGAGGUCCGCUACCGCCCUUUUUUACAAGGGACUUUUGAAGGAGGGGACCGGCCCCGGCCUGAUCGAGCGCCCGGCCGGCCAAGAGGCUGCACACGAGGAGCUCAAGUUCAAGGUGUGCGGUUCUUUUCUUGCCAUCCCGAAGCAAAAUGGUGGCCCCUGAAAUGUCCCCACAUUGUCUUCGGCUCCUGGAACUUCUAACGUGUUUCUUUGAAAGCCGGAGCAUGGGGAUGGCUCGGGACACGUGUGCUGCUCUGAGACCAGCCGACGGGUCCCAAAGCCAUUAGUUUAACAGCACCAUUUGUGGAAAUAAAGAACUCGCUGACGGGGCUCGAAGUUAAAAGACUGGAACAAAACGCUGAGGAGGUUUCGUGGGGCUCACCAGUGUGGAGGGGUCCCUGCGCGACGGGGGACAAGCUCUGGACUUCGAGGCAGACAGGGCUGGCUUCCAGCCCUGGUGCCACCAGCUAAGGACAGGGCGCCUCUGGGCGAGGAGAGACAUUUGCUCAGGUGUAAGCGAGACGCCAGCCGCGACACUGAACCUCUCUGAGCCUCUGGUCCUUACCUGUAAAACAGCAGCGAUGACAUACGGUUGUCAUGAGCAUUAAAUGACAUCAUGUACUGAGCCUGUGUAGCCCAAUUGCCCUGCCAUGGCCGUACAGGGUGGCCCCUGUUUUCCUGCCCUGGCCCAUCCCCUAAAGAAGCUGUUCCUUCCCCGUCCCCUCUUCCUCUCACUUCCCUCCUCGUGGGAACCUUCUGAAAGUCUCACAAAGCACUUAAAAAAAACCACGCUGACCAGUAUGCUCAAGGGCUGGCUGAAGGUGGGGCUCAGCUGAGCUUUAUGCAGACAGAUGGACUCUGCAAAGGGCUGUGCCAAACCCGCCUGGCUGGGCCUCUGGAAGGUUCCUCCCCAGGCGCCCCCACCCAGACUGUGUCUUACAAGUUUCCCACAGAUCUGAGCAGUGAAAGCGGAGGCGGCAGGGACUUCUGUGGUUUUCUAGGGUGGCCACAGCAUCCUACUCUUCCUCCUCCCACCUCUGUUCUGUGAGAUUUUGGGUUCACCUUACUCUCAAACUCUGGAAGUGAGCAGAUGGCCUGGAUCGGACCGUGGAGAGGCUCACAAGCCCCUGGCCAUGAGACUCAAGCUGGGACAAUCAGAGCCAACUUCAGGAAUGUUGAUGGAACUCUUAGGAGGGAGGAAAUCUUUCUGCUGGGUUUCCAAAAGGUCAAGUUUUAACUCAGUGCUGCUGUUGGCUGUCUUUAUACAACAGAUGGAAGAGUUGGCCUGAGAAUGAAGGCAACAAAGAUGAAAACAAAAAUGGAGAGAACAGUGUCCUGAUGACCAUUGGAGCCCCUUGAUCCAGCCACGCCUGAAGCCAUCACCCCUUGAACUUGCUCCUUAGAUGUGCCAAUAGAGUCCCUUUUUGGCUUAAGCUAGUCUGAGUUAGGUUUCGAUCUCUCACAGUCAGAAGAGUCCCAAGUAAUACAAAGCUUGACAAAUACCUUUUGGAAUCUAGAUUUACCUGGCCCUUCAUGCGGAACCAAGAGGCAGGCAGGUGAUUGCUGAGUGCCACCUGCAAUAGUGAGAGCCUGUGAAGGGACUCUGCCUUCUGGCACACUGAUGUCCCUGAGGCUCCUCUUGCAGACAGGGAGCUGAAACAGUUAGAGAGGGGAAAUAAAAGGAAAAAAAAAAAAAAAGGGAAGGGAUUUCGGAGUAAAACAGAUUGGGCUCUUAUCUCUUCUUCAUCUCUCAUGAGCUCUGAGACCUUGGGCAAGUGACUUACCCCUGUGAUCCUGGGUUUUCUCGCCUGUGGGAGGGGUUAAUAACACUGCCUUUGAGUUGCAGCGCAUAUGGGUGCUAGAUUCUACAGUCGGCGGGAAGGAAAAAACUUCCAUGAAAACUCUCUAAUUCCCCCCCCCCACCCCUGCAAAGGUAUGGCAGGGCCACACAUCUCAGCAAAUGUCCUAACUCAGCCACUUUCCUUCCUCCCCACAG